UUUAUGAGAGGGUAAACUAUGGAUGAGCUUUGGUCUGUGGGUCUGCUUUGCAAUCCCUUUCAAAAUUAUGAAGAAAACCAGUAAUAAAUGCCUACGAGCCAUAUUUCUGGAACAUGUGAUUCCUUUGAGAACAAAAAGGUAUAUAAAUGCUAAGCAAAGUAAAUGAGUCAGAUCAAUUCCCCAAUUAACAUCCAAAGAGGUUCGAGACUGUGAGAAGGAAGUCAUUGGGGUAACCGAGACCCCGCCUCGAGGGACCUUAGAACCAGAGGUCAUCUGGGUAACUAGGGCCCUGCUUUGAGGGACAGACCAAGUGCCAGAGAGGAGAAAGAAGAAAGAGAAGUAGUCUCCAGCAGAUCAGGAAGAAGAAAGCAGCAUUUAAUGCCAACAAACGAAUUCUCAGGGGAUCAGAUAUUAAAUACAACCUCAAAUAUCCUGUGAUCUUCAUAAUGAAACUGACAGACUCUGUGAAAUACUUCAAUACCCCAUCAGAUGCUUGGCAAGCACUACAGGAAUUGAGACCGAAUCUCACUAAGGGUAAGGCAUCAUCCUCUCAUAAAGGAAAAGAAAAUGAAGAAUAUAAGCCCUGAAGAAAAGGACUCAUGAUUGGGAAAACCAGAAAGAAAUUCUAAAUCGUUAUCAUUGGCCUCCUGAAGUGAUUGCAUAAAGCUGGACUUGAUGUACAUAGUAAAUGUUGGACAUGUGACACCUCCAAUGUAAUCCUGUCUCAGAUAGCCUUUGAAUGUCAAAGUAUGCACAUUCUGGAAGGAAGCACGUGAUGCUCUAAUGUGAUUGGAUAGAAGUUUCCCCUACAUCAAGCCUUUGUGUUUUGGGCUUUCUAGAAGAUCUACUCUGUUGGAGUAAUGCCAGGAAAGGGAUUGCUGCUGUGUUUAUAGUGGCCAAAAGAGCCAUUUUACAAAAAUGGAAAUCUGUUAUUACCCCAACAUUCUUUGAUUGGCUAACUGAGAUAAGCAACACAACCCUCAUGGAAAAAUACUGACAAUCUGUAGAGGUCAAGAUCCAAUUGUGAAGACAGAUGGUCUUUCAUAAGAGCAUUACAAACUGACUCCAGGUAGAUUGGGCUUCUGAUGCAUCUAUUUUUUGGGGUGGGAGUAGUUGUUACGGAACUAUUUAUCUUAUAAUGCUCAAGAGUAUUUCUCCAUAAAUAUUUCAUACUAUGUUAUUGUUAAGUCUGUAUUCUGGCUGUGUUUUCUUUGACAUUGUAUUUGACUAUGUCUGUAUGGAUAUGUUAAAACAUCUGAAAAAUAAAAUGAAAAAGGCCUUUUCGGGUUUGAAGUAGGGGUGACUAGAUUUGAGGUAUGACAACUAAAUAAAGAACAGCUUUUUUCAGGGUUGAAGAGAAACAACAGCAGAAAUGGCAGAUCUUUAGUGUUUGCCAUUUCCUCUCUUCAUCUGCAAAAUGAAAAAAAAAUCUUCUGACAGCUGAAGAAAUACUUGGUAUCUAUUAUAAAUUGAAAGGCCCUUUUGAGGGUUGAAAUUUGAGGUAAGCAUUUAAAAACAUGGGACGCCAACAAAGUUUCCAAAGGACUUUGCUGGUGGGGUCAGAAAAGUCUAUAGGCCUCUUAGUAGGACAUGUUUCUUAGUUGAUAAAGAGCCAAUGGUAUAUAAAGUUUGGUCAUCCACUUCAUAGACUCAUAGACUUUAAGGUCAGAAGGGACCAUUAUGAUCAUCUAGUCUGACCUCCCGCAUGAUGCGGGCCACAAAGCCGUCCCAACCCCUUUCCCUUGACUCUGCUAUUGAAGU